AGAGUUUGAUCCUGGCUCAGGAUGAACGCUGGCGGCGUGCCUAACACAUGCAAGUCGAGCGAAGCGAUUUAACGGAAGUUUUCGGAUGGAAGAUAAAUUGACUGAGCGGCGGACGGGUGAGUAACGCGUGGGUAACCUGCCUCAUACAGGGGGAUAACAGUUAGAAAUGACUGCUAAUACCGCAUAAGCGCACGGUGUCACAUGACACAGUGUGAAAAACUCCGGUGGUAUGAGAUGGACCCGCGUCUGAUUAGCUAGUUGGUAGGGUAACGGCCUACCAAGGCGACGAUCAGUAGCCGACCUGAGAGGGUGACCGGCCACAUUGGGACUGAGACACGGCCCAAACUCCUACGGGAGGCAGCAGUGGGGAAUAUUGCACAAUGGGGGAAACCCUGAUGCAGCGACGCCGCGUGAGUGAAGAAGUAUUUCGGUAUGUAAAGCUCUAUCAGCAGGGAAGAAAAUGACGGUACCUGACUAAGAAGCCCCGGCUAACUACGUGCCAGCAGCCGCGGUAAUACGUAGGGGGCAAGCGUUAUCCGGAUUUACUGGGUGUAAAGGGAGCGUAGACGGCUGUGCAAGUCUGAAGUGAAAGCCCGGGGCUCAACCCCGGUACUGCUUUGGAAACUGUGCGGCUAGAGUGCUGGAGAGGUAAGUGGAAUUCCUAGUGUAGCGGUGAAAUGCGUAGAUAUUAGGAGGAACACCAGUGGCGAAGGCGGCUUACUGGACAGUAACUGACGUUGAGGCUCGAAAGCGUGGGGAGCAAACAGGAUUAGAUACCCUGGUAGUCCACGCCGUAAACGAUGAA
rnacentral:rRNA from 1 species